CCUGUCAUAGACAAUGCUGUAACAAACAGACUAAUUGUUCACUGUUGACAUAUAGAAGUACUACUGAUUGGCCAGACAUAGUGGCUCAUGCCUGGAAUCCCAGCACUUUGGGAGGCCAAGGCAGGUGGAUCACUUGAGCCCAGAAGUUUGAGACCAGCCUGGGCAACAUGAUGAAACCCCAUCUCUACAAAAUAAAUAGAAAAAUUAGCUGGGUAUGGUGGCAUGUGCCAGUAGUCCCAGCUACAUGGGAGCCUGAGGUGGGAGGACGACUUGAGCCCAGGAGGUGGAGGUUACAGUGAGCUGAGAUCAUGCCACUGCACUCCAGCCUGGGUGACAGAGUGGGACUCUGUCUAAAAAAAAAAUUGUAUUAUCUGUAAACGGAAAUAUAAAUAAUUUAACUUCUUCUUUUCCAAUUUGGAUUCCCUUUAUUUCUUUCACCUGUAUGAUUGCUUUAGCUAGAGCUUCCGGUAAUAUGUUGAAUAACAGUGAUGACCAGUGGGCAUCCUUGCUGUGUUCCAGAUCUUAGAGAAAAGACUUUCAGUUUUUUUCCCCAUUUAGUAUAUGAGCUGUGGACCUGUAAUAUAUGGCUUUUAUUAUGUUGAGGUAUGUUACUUCUAUACCUAGUUUUCUUAGGUUUUGUUUUUUUUUAUCAUGGGGGGAUGUUGAAUCAAUUGAAAUGAUCAUAUGGUUUUUGUCCUUCAUUCUGUUGAUAUGAUUUAUCACAUUGACUGAUUUGCAUAUGUUUAACCAUUCUUGCACCCCUGAGAUAAAUGUCACUUCAUCAUGAUGAAUCAAACUUUUAAUAUGUUGUUGAAUUUGUUUGCUAGUAUUUUGUUGAGAAUUUUUGGAUCCAUAUUCAUCAGUGAUAUUGGCCUGUAGUUUCCCUUUUUUGAUAUGUUUUUGACUGGUUUUGGUACCAGGGUAAUACAGGCCUCAUAGAAGAAUGAGCUUGAAAGUAUGCCAUCCUCCUCUAUUUUUUGAGAUAGUUUGCAUAGGAUUGGGAUUAAUUCUUCUUUAAAUGUUUGGUAGAACUUAGCAGUGAAGCCAUGGAAUCACAGCUUUCCUUGACUGGAAGACAUUUUAUUACAGCUUCAAUCUUGUUACUUGUUAUUGGUCUGCUCAGGCUUUGGAUUUCUUCAUGGUUCAAUGUUGAUAGGUUGUAUGUGUCUAGGAAUUUGUUCAUUUCUUCUAGAUUUUCUAAUUCUUUGGCCUGUAUAAUUCCUCAUAGUAUCCACUAAUGAUCUUCUGAGUUUCUACAGUAUCAGUUGUAAAGACUCAUUUUUCAUCUCUGAUUUUAUUUAUUUGGGUAUUCUCUUUUUUGUUAGUUAGCUUUCUCAAUUUUGUUUAACUUUUCAAAAAACCAGCUUUUUUAUUAUUAUUAUAGUUUAAGUUCUAGGGUACAUGUGCACAACGUACAGGUUUGUUACAUAUGUAUACAUGCAGCUCGUCAUUUACAUUAGGUAUAUCUCCUAAUGCUAUCCCUCUCCCUUCCCCCCUCCCCAUGACAGGCCCCAGUGUGUGAUGUUCCCCUUCCUGUGUCCAAGUGUUCUCAUUGUUCAAUUCCCACUUAUGAGUGAGAACACGCAGUGUUUGGUUCUCUGUCCUUGCGAUAGUUUGCUGAGAAUGAUGGUUUCCAACUUCACCCAUGUCCCUACAAAGGACAUGAACUCAUCCUUUUUUAUGGCUGCAUAGUAUUCCAUGGUGUAUAUGUGCCACAUUUUCUUAAUCUAGUCUAUCAUUGAUGGACAUUUGGGUUGGUUCCAAGUCUUUGCUAUUGUGAAUAGUGCCGCAAUAAACAUACGUGUGCAU
ensembl:lncRNA EDIL3-DT EDIL3 divergent transcript